CGCCCAGCAGCUAGCCCAAACAACUAAAACAAACAAAUCCCCAUUAAUUACCCCUCACUCACUAAAAACCAAAAAUAAAGCAUUCUACCCCUCUUAGUAUAGGAGAUAGAAAAGAACCUAGGCGCAAUAGAGAAAGUACCGCAAGGGAAAGCUGAAAGAGAAAUGAAAUAACCCAGUAAAGCACUAAGAAGCAGAGAUUUUACCUCGUACCUUUUGCAUCAUGAUUUAGCCAGUAAAGUUUAAGCAAAGCCCCCUUUAGUUUUACUCCCCGAAACUAAGUGAGCUACUCCAAGACAGCCUAUCAAUUAGGGCGAACCCGUCUCUGUGGCAAAAGAGUGGGAAGAGCUUCGAGUAGCGGUGACAGACCUAUCGAACUUAGUUAUAGCUGGUUGCCCGGGAAAUGGAUAGAAGUUCAGCCUUUUAAAGUUCUCUAUUCGCCCUGGCCCGUCCGCCUCCAGUUAAACAAGAACUUAAAAGAGUUAGUCAAAGGGGGUACAGCUCCUUUGACAAAAGACACAACUUUCUCAGGAGGUUAAAGAUCAUAAUUUACCAAGGACUCUGUGUUUAUGUGGGCCUAAAAGCAGCCACCCCUUCAGAAAGCGUUAAAGCUCAAACACCUCUCCCUCCACAAAUACUGAUAACCCCAUCUUAACCCCUACCCCUACCGGGCCGUCCCAUGCCUCCAUGGGAGCGACUCUGCUAAUAUGAGUAAUAAGAAAGCCACGCCUUUCUCCCCGCACAAGUGUAAAUCGGAACGAACCCCCACCGAAAUUUAACGGCCCCAAGAAAAGAGGGCACUGGACUUCGUGCUAGUGAACAAGAAAAACAUCCAACAACUAACCGUUAACCCCACACUGGUGUGCAAAAAAGGAAAGACUAAAAGAAAAAGAAGGAACUCGGCAAACACCUAAGCCUCGCCUGUUUACCAAAAACAUCGCCUCUUGCAAAACUGACGAAUAAGAGGUCCCGCCUGCCCGGUGACUAUUAGUUUAACGGCCGCGGUAUUUUGACCGUGCAAAGGUAGCGCAAUCACUUGUCUUUUAAAUGGAGACCUGUAUGAAUGGCAUAACGAGGGCUUGACUGUCUCCUUUUUCCAGUCAAUGAAAUUGAUUUCCCCGUGCAGAAGCGGGGAUGACUACAUAAGACGAGAAGACCCUAUGGAGCUUUAGACACUAAGACAGACCACACUCAGAACGCCCAAACAAGGAAUAAAAACCAAGUGGCCCCUGUUCCUAAUGUCUUUGGUUGGGGCGACCCUGGGGAAACAAAGAACCCCCAUGUGGAACGGAAAUACUCUUUCUUAAUCCAAGAGCUACCCCUCUAAGAAACAAAACUUUUGACCAACUUAGAUCCGGCAGCGCCGAUCAACGGACCAAGUUACCCUAGGGAUAACAGCGCAAUCCCCUUUUAGAGCCCAUAUCGACAAGGGGGUUUACGACCUCGAUGUUGGAUCAGGACAUCCUACUGGUGCAGCCGCUAUUAAGGGUUCGUUUGUUCAACGAUUAAAGUCCUACGUGAUCUGAGUUCAGACCGGAGUAAUCCAGGUCAGUUUCUAUCUAUGAAGUACCCUUUUCUAGUACGAAAGGACCGAAAAGAGAAGGCCCAUGCUAAUAGUAUGCCUUUCCCUCACCUAAUGAAGCCAACUAAAUUAGAUAAGAGAAUACACCCCCCCCCCAGCCAGAAAACAUGGCAU
rnacentral:rRNA from 1 species